CACCCAGGACGGUGGAUCACUCGGCUCGUGGGUCGAUGAAGAACGCAGCAAAUUGCGCGUCGACAUGUGACUGCAGGACACAUGAACAUCGACGUUUCGAACGCACAUUGCGGUCCAUGGGAUUCCGUUCCCGGGCCACGUCUGGCUGAGGGUCG
rnacentral:rRNA from 1 species